rnacentral:rRNA from 1 species
AAUUGGAGGGCAAGUCUGGUGCCAGCAGCCGCGGUAAUUCCAGCUCCAAUAGCGUAUAUUAAAGUUGUUGCAGUUAAAAAGCUCGUAGUUGAAGUUCUGAUUGCUCAGGUUUCCAGCCUUAGGCGGAGAUACUGACAGUCAUCCGCUUGCAAACAUAUGUUCGAUCUUCACCGGUUGGCUAUGUGAGUAAGCACUUUACCUUGAGAAAAACAGAGUGUUCCAGGCAGGUUUGUCCGGGAUGCAUUAGCAUGGAAUAAUAGAACAUGACUGAAGUCGAUUUAUUGGUUUAAGGCUUUAGUAAUGAUUAAUAGGAACAGUCGGGGGCAUUCGUACUCAGCAGUCAGAGGUGAAAUUCUAAGAUUUGCUGAAGACGAACUAAUGCGAAAGCAUUUGCCAAGGAUGUUUUCAUUAAUCAAGAACGAAAGUUAGGGGG